rnacentral:rRNA from 1 species
GACGAACGCUGGCGGCAUGCCUAACACAUGCAAGUCGAACGAGACCUUCGGGUCUAGUGGCGCACGGGUGCGUAACGCGUGGGAAUCUGCCCAAAGGUUCGGAAUAACUCGGGGAAACCCGAGCUAAUACCGGAUGACGUCUUCGGACCAAAGAUUUAUCGCCUUUGGAUGAGCCCGCGUCGGAUUAGCUUGUUGGUGAGGUAAAAGCUCACUAAGGCGACGAUCCGUAGCUGGUCUGAGAGGAUGAUCAGCCACACUGGGACUGAGACACGGCCCAGACUCCUACGGGAGGCAGCAGUGGGGAAUAUUGGACAAUGGGCGCAAGCCUGAUCCAGCAAUGCCGCGUGAGUGAUGAAGGCCUUAGGGUUGUAAAGCUCUUUUACCCGGGAUGAUAAUGACAGUACCGGGAGAAUAAGCCCCGGCUAACUCCGUGCCAGCAGCCGCGGUAAUACGGAGGGGGCUAGCGUUGUUCGGAAUUACUGGGCGUAAAGCGCGCGUAGGCGGCGUUU